UACGUAGGGCGCAAGCGUUGUCCGGAAUUAUUGGGCGUAAAGAGCUCGUAGGCGGCCUGUUACGUCUGCUGUGAAAUCCCCGGGGCUUAACCCCGGGCGUGCAGUGGAUACGGGCAGGCUGGAGGCAGGCAGGGGAGAACGGAAUUCCCGGUGUAGCGGUGAAAUGCGCAGAUAUCGGGAGGAACACCGGUGGCGAAGGCGGUUCUCUGGGCCUGUACUGACGCUGAGGAGCGAAAGCGUGGGGAGCGAACAGG
rnacentral:rRNA from 1 species